GACCAUGGCUCAGGACGAACGCUGGCGGCGUGCCUAACACAUGCAAGUCGAACGGAGAAUUUUAUUUCGGUAGAAUUCUUAGUGGCGAACGGGUGAGUAACGCGUAGGCAACCUGCCCUUUAGACGGGGACAACAUUCCGAAAGGAGUGCUAAUACCGGAUGUGAUCAUCUUGCCGCAUGGCAGGAUGAAGAAAGAUGGCCUCUACAAGUAAGCUAUCGCUAAAGGAUGGGCCUGCGU
rnacentral:rRNA from 1 species